GCCUUUCUCUUCCCCUCCCCACCUCGUUCCCUGCCUCAUCCUCUUCUCUCCCACCAAUCUUUUUCCCCUCUCCAUCUCUUUCCCCAAGGUCGUCUUCGCCGCUUUCCACUCCCUUCUUCUUCCCCCCAACCCUCUUCCCUCCUCCCUCCCCAUCCUUUUCUUCCCUUCACCCCUUUUCCAGUCUUCUUCCCCACCUUCUGCUCUUUCCCUCCCCUCUCCUUCCCGACCCUUCUCCUUUCCCAACGUCUUCCCACCUUUUUCUCCCCUCUCCGUCUUCUCCCCUCCUUCUUCCCCACUGCGGUCUUCCCGCAUCCUCUUCUGCCGUCUCCCUACUGUCUUCUUCCCGCACCUUCUUCUCCCCCGCAGUUUUUUUUUCCCCUUCCCCACCGUUUUCUUCCCCUCAGUCUCUCCCAUUCCUCGCAGCACGGGUUCCUGUGGCGGCAGCUUUUCCUUCCAUCUCCUUCUCUCCACCCGCUGGCUUCCAGUCUCCACCUUCCCGCCUAUUCCCCCAGCAGCGUCUUCCCGCCGCUCCCUCUUCUCCCCUCCCCCUCCUCACCGUCUUCUCCCGGCCUAUUACCGCCAACCGUUUUCUUCCUCAUCCCGCACCCUUUUCUUCCCAUGUCUGCCUUAGUCUUCUUCCCACCCUCUUCUCCUCUCCCCAUCGCCUUCUUCCCACCCUCUUCUCCUCUCCCCAUCGCCUUCUUCCCACCCUCUUCUCCUCUCCCAAUCGUCUUCUUUCCCAGCCUCUUCUCCAUUUUCUUGCCGCCUCCAUAUCCCCACCUUCUUCUCGCAGCAGCGUCUUCCUGCCGCGCUUUUCUCUCCCCUCACCAUCUUCUCUUCCUCUUCCCCACCGUCCUCUCCCCACGCCCUCUUCUCCUCACUGUCUUCUCCCCGCGCCUUCCCCACAACCGUUUUCUCCCCCGUUUUCUUCCCCUCACACCGUUUUCUUCCCAUGUCCUCCCACCGUCUCGCAGCAGCGUCUGUCAGUCGCAAUCUUCUUCCCACUUUCUUCUCUCCCCCUCCCAUCGUCUUUUUUCCCCAGCCUCUUAUUCUCCGCCAUCUUCUUCCCCUCCCCACCUUCUCGCAGCAGCGACUUCCUGCCGCGUUUUUCUCUCCCCGCACCCUCUUCUCCCCUCUUCCACUCCCCACCGUCUUCGCCCCCGAUCGUCUUCUUGCCCACCCCCUUCUCGCGCUCUCCAACUGCCUUUCACCUAGAAGCGCUCCACGCGUGCGCCCGCCUGUGUCCCUGCGCCUGGUGUGUCUGUGCGCCCAGCCAGCCCCAUGAGCUGGGCCCCUGAGCUCCGCCCCAACAGCCAACAGGAGACCCAGGAGAGUCGCUGCCAGGGCCAUCACGGCUGCCGCCGCCCCCGCCCCCGCCGCUACCUCAGAACUGAACAGUGUUGGCUGCGGGCGAAAGGCAGUGGGGCCCGGAAGACUGCGGGGAGAGGGGGAGGAGGGGACGGAGAGGGUGGGAAAGACCUUGGAAAGUGGGAUGGGGAGAAAGGUGGGGAAGAAGACAGUGGGGAGAAAGUGCAGGGAGAAGACAGUGUGGUAGAGAAGACAGUGGAGGAAAACGGAAGGUCAUGGGAACAUACAGAGACCUACAGGGAAGACGGCCAUGGGACAAGGGAGGCAGAGUCUGGAGUUACGCUGCCUACAGUCACGGAAUGCCAAGGACAGCUGGAAACCACCAGAAGCUAAGAAGGAGAUUUUACCUGAAAGCCUCUCAAAGAAAUCAAUCAUACUCACACCUCCUUUUUGAAUUUCUGGCCUCGUGAAUGGUGAAAAAAUAAAUUUCUGUCGUCUUAAGCCCCACGG
rnacentral:lncRNA from 1 species